ensembl:lncRNA LINC02241 long intergenic non-protein coding RNA 2241
UCUCGCCUGCCGCCAUGUAAACGUUCUUUGCUCCUGCUUCGUCUUCUGCCGUGAUUGUGAGGCCUCCCCAGCCAUGUGGAACUACUCAUCACUCACUGCAGAUGUUACUUUAAGACAUUCUGGAGCAGCGUCAUGUGCAGGUGCGUAGUGCCUCCGCCCAUCUCUCUCUUGCUCCUGGUCUCAUCGUGACGGGCCUGGUCCUGCCUCACUUUAUGCCACGACUAAGAGCUCCCUGAGGCCUCUCCAGAAGCAGAUAUCACUAUGCUUCCUACACAGCCUGCAGAACCGUAUACUCUUCUGCCGAGAGACUGUACUUCUCAGCCUCCCUUGUGGCUAGGUGUGCCAUGUGACUGAGUGCUCAUGAUUGAGAUGAACAAUAAGGAAGUGAGUGCUUUUGUAAUUCCUGAACAACUGUGUCUUACACUUACUAAGUUCUCUUGCCUGCCACCAUGUAAGAUAUGCUUUUACUCUUCCGCCUUCCACCGUGACUGUGAGGCCUCCCCAGCCAUGUGAAACUGCCUUUGAGCUUAUACUGAAUUAUACCACCAGCUUUCCUAGGUCUUGAAGCUUACAGACAGCAGAUCUUGGGACUUCUCAGGCACCAUAAUCAAUCAUAGAUAAAUGAUCCAAUGAUUCGGAACUUGAAAAGUGGUAGCUUUAUGAAUUCUCCUUAAGAAGAAACCUGUGCCCUGAUCUUGCCUACUCACCCAAAGGCACUGUGAGAUAGCAUCAAAGGAACAGCUAGUAAGAGACACAGAGCCAGAAAUCAGGGAAGUAAAAUACACUUGACAUCUACGUUCGGAAAGAAAUUUUAGGAGGCAGAAGCAAAUGGAUCAGAAGCUGCUUAUAUUUUUGCAAGAUUACCAAAGAAACCAUUGGUGGAGAAAGUUCUGUGACCAACUUGUCUGAGUCUAGUAAGAUUGAACGCUCACACACAAGUUUCAUGAAGUGGGUUUGAUACUUACAGAUAAGCAGCAAGGACCAACAGAAGCUGAUGAUCUAUGGUGAACUUUUUCCCAAGGCUCCGGAAAGCUGCCUAAAGUAGAUGGAGUCUUCUCUGUGUGUGCCCCACUGGUCCUGCAGUUGAAGGAUCCGGUAAAGCAGCCUGCCCUUGGUUUUAUACUCCAGAGGAACGUGAUUCGCUGGACUAAAGCAUUGAAGUGCAUCCUGUUUCCGGGGGGCACUGGAACAGAGCCUGGUCUGUUCUAGCCAGUCCCUUUCUAUCUCAGGAUAACAUUCUACAGUUAUUCUUGAGAACUAUAAUCAAAUAAGCAGGGAGAACUGGGUAAGUCCAAGGCUUAUCUAUACAAGCCUUUAAAUAUUCAAGACCAAAAAAAAAAAAAAAAAAAAAAAAAAAA